rnacentral:rRNA from 1 species
CUGGAAUGGCUUAUGGUCUAAACAGUUUACUGCCAUGGGAUGGGACUGCGGCCUAUCAGCUUGUUGGUGAGGUAAUGGCCCACCAAGGCUAUAACAGGUACGGGCUCUGAGAGGAGAAGCCCGGAGAUGGGUACUGAGACACGGACCCAGGCCCUAUGGGGCGCAGCAGGCGAGAAACCUUAGCAAUGUGCGAAAGCACGACUGGGUCAGUCCGAGUGAUUCCUGAUAAAGGAGUCUUUUAUCUGUCCUAAAAGCACAGGUGAAUAAGGGGUGGGCAAGUCUGGUGUCAGCCGCCGCGGUAAUACCAGCACCUCGAGUGGUCAGGACGUUUAUUGGGCCUAAAGCAUCCGUAGCCGGCUUUGCAAGUCUACGGUUAAAUCCACCUGCUCAACAGAUGGGCUGCUGGAGAUACUACAAAGCUAGGGAGUGGGAGAGGCAGACGGUAUUCAGUGGGUAGGGGUAAAAUCCUCUGAUCCAUCGAGGACCACCAGUGGCGAAGGCGGUCUGCCAGAACACGUUCGACGGUGAGGGAUGAAAGCUGGGGGAGCAAACCGGAUUAGAUACCUGGGUAGUCCCAGCUGUAAACGAUGCAAACUCGGUGAUGCAUUGGCUUAUGGCCAAUGCAGUGCCGCAGGGAAGCCGUUAAGUUUGCCGCCUGGGAAGUACGGACGCAAGUCUGAAACUUAAAGGAAUUGGCGGGGGAGCACCACAAGGGGUGAAGCCUGCGGUUCAAUUGGACUCAACGCCGGU